rnacentral:tRNA from 1 species
GCCUUCGUAGUGUAACGGCAGCACACUCGACUCGUAUUUGAGAGGUCCAGGUUCGAGUCCCGGCGAGGGCA